rnacentral:rRNA from 1 species
UACGAAGGGGGCUAGCGUUGUUCGGAAUUACUGGGCGUAAAGGGCGCGUAGGCGGGCUGCCAAGUCCGGGGUGAAAUCUUUCGGCCCAACCGGAAAAGUGCCUUGGAUACUGGCGGCCUGGAGGGAGGCAGGGGCGGAUGGAACUUCCGGUGGAGCGGUGAAAUGCGUUGAUAUCGGAAGGAACGCCGGUGGCGAAAGCGAUCCGCUGGACCUCUUCUGACGCUGAGGCGCGAAAGCCAGGGGAGCAAACGGG